rnacentral:rRNA from 1 species
GAUCAAGAGACUAAGAGCACACGGUGGAUGCCUUGGCGCCAAGAGCCGAUGAAGGACGUGGGCGGCUGCGAUAAGCCCGGGGGAGGUGCUGACCGACCUUUGAUCCCGGGAUCUCCGAAUGGGGAAACCCGG